rnacentral:tRNA from 1 species
AGCAGCUGUGGUGUAGUGGUUAUCACGUUUGCUUUACACGCAAAAGGUCUCCGGUUCGAUCCCGGGCAGCUGCAAU